GUAAAAAGUAGAAUAAUAGAUUUGAAAUAUUUAUUAUAUAGAUUUAAAGAGAUAAUCAUGGAGUAUAAUAAUUAAAUUUAAUAAAUUUAAUAUAACUAUUAAUAGAAUUAGGUUACUAAUAAAUUAAUAACAAUUAAUUUUAAAACCUAAAGGUAAACCUUUAUAUUAAUAAUGUUAUUUUUUAUUAUUUUUAUAAUAAGAAUAAUUAUUAAUAAUAAUAAACUAAGUGAACUGAAACAUCUAAGUAACUUAAGGAUAAGAAAUCAACAGAGAUAUUAUGAGUAUUGGUGAGAGAAAAUAAUAAAGGUCUAAUAAGUAUUAUGUGAAAAAAAUGUAAGAAAAUAGGAUAACAAAUUCUAAGACUAAAUACUAUUAAUAAGUAUAGUAAGUACCGUAAGGGAAAGUAUGAAAAUGAUUAUUUUAUAAGCAAUCAUGAAUAUAUUAUAUUAUAUUAAUGAUGUACCUUUUGUAUAAUGGGUCAGCAAGUAAUUAAUAUUAGUAAAACAAUAAGUUAUAAAUAAAUAGAAUAAUAUAUAUAUAUAAAAAAAUAUAUUAAAAUAUUUAAUUAAUAUUAAUUGACCCGAAAGCAAACGAUCUAACUAUGAUAAGAUGGAUAAACGAUCGAACAGGUUGAUGUUGCAAUAUCAUCUGAUUAAUUGUGGUUAGUAGUGAAAGACAAAUCUGGUUUGCAGAUAGCUGGUUUUCUAUGAAAUAUAUGUAAGUAUAGCCUUUAUAAAUAAUAAUUAUUAUAUAAUAUUAUAUUAAUAUUAUAUAAAGAAUGGUACAGCAAUUAAUAUAUAUUAGGGAACUAUUAAAGUUUUAUUAAUAAUAUUAAAUCUCGAAAUAUUUAAUUAUAUAUAAUAAAGAGUCAGAUUAUGUGCGAUAAGGUAAAUAAUCUAAAGGGAAACAGCCCAGAUUAAGAUAUAAAGUUCCUAAUAAAUAAUAAGUGAAAUAAAUAUUAAAAUAUUAUAAUAUAAUCAGUUAAUGGGUUUGACAAUAACCAUUUUUUAAUGAACAUGUAACAAUGCACUGAUUUAUAAUAAAUAAAAAAAAAUAAUAUUUAAAAUCAAAUAUAUAUAUAUUUGUUAAUAGAUAAUAUACGGAUCUUAAUAAUAAGAAUUAUUUAAUUCCUAAUAUGGAAUAUUAUAUUUUUAUAAUAAAAAUAUAAAUACUGAAUAUCUAAAUAUUAUUAUUACUUUUUUUUUAAUAAUAAUAAUAUGGUAAUAGAACAUUUAAUGAUAAUAUAUAUUAGUUAUUAAUUAAUAUAUGUAUUAAUUAAAUAGAGAAUGCUGACAUGAGUAACGAAAAAAAGGUAUAAACCUUUUCACCUAAAACAUAAGGUUUAACUAUAAAAGUACGGCCCCUAAUUAAAUUAAUAAGAAUAUAAAUAUAUUUAAGAUGGGAUAAUCUAUAUUAAUAAAAAUUUAUCUUAAAAUAUAUAUAUUAUUAAUAAUUAUAUUAAUUAAUUAAUAAUAUAUAUAAUUAUAUUAUAUAUUAUAUAUUUUUUAUAUAAUAUAAACUAAUAAAGAUCAGGAAAUAAUUAAUGUAUACCGUAAUGUAGACCGACUCAGGUAUGUAAGUAGAGAAUAUGAAGGUGAAUUAGAUAAUUAAAGGGAAGGAACUCGGCAAAGAUAGCUCAUAAGUUAGUCAAUAAAGAGUAAUAAGAACAAAGUUGUACAACUGUUUACUAAAAACACCGCACUUUGCAGAAACGAUAAGUUUAAGUAUAAGGUGUGAACUCUGCUCCAUGCUUAAUAUAUAAAUAAAAUUAUUUAACGAUAAUUUAAUUAAAUUUAGGUAAAUAGCAGCCUUAUUAUGAGGGUUAUAAUGUAGCGAAAUUCCUUGGCCUAUAAUUGAGGUCCCGCAUGAAUGACGUAAUGAUACAACAACUGUCUCCCCUUUAAGCUAAGUGAAAUUGAAAUCGUAGUGAAGAUGCUAUGUACCUUCAGCAAGACGGAAAGACCCUAUGCAGCUUUACUGUAAUUAGAUAGAUCGAAUUAUUGUUUAUUAUAUUCAGCAUAUUAAGUAAUCCUAUUAUUAGGUAAUCGUUUAGAUAUUAAUGAGAUACUUAUUAUAAUAUAAUGAUAAUUCUAAUCUUAUAAAUAAUUAUUAUUAUUAUUAUUAAUAAUAAUAAUAUGCUUUCAAGCAUAGUGAUAAAACAUAUUUAUAUGAUAAUCACUUUACUUAAUAGAUAUAAUUCUUAAGUAAUAUAUAAUAUAUAUUUUAUAUAUAUUAUAUAUAAUAUAAGAGACAAUCUCUAAUUGGUAGUUUUGAUGGGGCGUCAUUAUCAGCAAAAGUAUCUGAAUAAGUCCAUAAAUAAAUAUAUAAAAUUAUUGAAUAAAAAAAAAAUAAUAUAUAUUAUAUAUAUUAAUUAUAAAUUGAAAUAUGUUUAUAUAAAUUUAUAUUUAUUGAAUAUAUUUUAGUAAUAGAUAAAAAUAUGUACAGUAAAAUUGUAAGGAAAACAAUAAUAACUUUCUCCUCUCUCGGUGGGGGUUCACACCUAUUUUUAAUAGGUGUGAACCCCUCUUCGGGGUUCCGGUUCCCUUUCGGGUCCCGGAACUUAAAUAAAAAUGGAAAGAAUUAAAUUAAUAUAAUGGUAUAACUGUGCGAUAAUUGUAACACAAACGAGUGAAACAAGUACGUAAGUAUGGCAUAAUGAACAAAUAACACUGAUUGUAAAGGUUAUUGAUAACGAAUAAAAGUUACGCUAGGGAUAACAGGGUAAUAUAGCGAAAGAGUAGAUAUUGUAAGCUAUGUUUGCCACCUCGAUGUCGACUCAACAUUUCCUCUUGGUUGUAAAAGCUAAGAAGGGUUUGACUGUUCGUCAAUUAAAAUGUUACGUGAGUUGGGUUAAAUACGAUGUGAAUCAGUAUGGUUCCUAUCUGCUGAAGGAAAUAUUAUCAAAUUAAAUCUCAUUAUUAGUACGCAAGGACCAUAAUGAAUCAACCCAUGGUGUAUCUAUUGAUAAUAAUAUAAUAUAUUUAAUAAAAAUAAUACUUUAUUAAUAUAUUAUCUAUAUUAGUUUAUAUUUUAAUUAUAUAUUAUCAUAGUAGAUAAGCUAAGUUGAUAAUAAAUAAAUAUUGAAUACAUAUUAAAUAUGAAGUUGUUUUAAUAAGAUAAUUAAUCUGAUAAUUUUAUACUAAAAUUAAUAAUUAUAGGUUUUAUAUAUUAUUUAUAAAUAAAUAUAUUAUAAUAAUAAUAAUUAUUAUUAUUAAUAAAAAAUAUUAAUUAUAAUAUUAAUAAAAUACUAAUUUAUCAGUUAUCUAUAUAAUAUCUAAUCUAUUAUUCUAUAUACU
ensembl:rRNA 21S_RRNA Mitochondrial 21S rRNA; intron encodes the I-SceI DNA endonuclease